UCGCGGUUUCACCCAUACCUUUUUCACAUAUGCAAAUCUGCGAACAUUACGAAGCCGGACCGCGCACCUAUUUAUCGAGUAGCCCGUUACGUAAUCAGUAACGUGUCUAGUUAUUUAUGGUCAGGAACGUGAGGAAAGCUUCAGUAGCAAAUACAACAUAUUCGCGCGACAAGGACUCCGCCCGCGCUACUGUUCUACCUGCGGUGCGCGGCACCGUUACCGAACCGUGAAUGACUGAGCAUUGUUUCCUCAGGAGAUUCAUUGCCACAUCAAACGACGCCCACGAUUCAUCAAUGCCUUCUGCCGCCAAAAACUCAAAUCUCUGGUCCACUGUCACUCGUUAUUCAUCCCCUCACUUAUCCGCCGAAAAAAGCGCGCACUAUACCAGUUUACGUGGCCGCCGCCGCCGGCCCUGCGACACAUUAUGUAGAUGAUGUGCGCUCUUUUAUAGCAUCUCGGUGCUUUUUCGUCUUUGAGAACUAGUCACUAGCCAGCACGAAGGGCAGCGGCAGCAUCAACAGCAGCGCCAGCCAGUGGAGUAUCGAUUCCCACCAAAAAUCACGAACAAAGCGAGCCAAAAGCUGAUAUGGUAAAAAAUUGAACAAUUAAAAAAAAUGUAACGACUUUGCAGCUCUUGAGAGCGAAGACAGCGUAGCAAAGCACACGCCGAUCUGAUGACAACGUCAAAAAUAAUCGUAUGUAGGAAUCUGCCGGGAAAAGUUCCGUUGACUUCUGACUGCGCCGAAGAUCCCUCAACAUGACACAAAUGAAUAGCUGUCGUUAUACGCGUCAGUGAUGAUAGACAUGGUUUAUCAACUAUAGAAGAUUCGGAUCGUUGUGUGUGGCGUCAGCAAAGUACGAAAAAAAGCUUGUCAUUUUUGUGGGUUGGUGAUUGCGCUCGGAAGCGAAUAGUACAAUAUAUGUCGUCGUUGGGAUUGAAGUUGAUGCGAUUGACGCAGAAUGCUUUAUCGAACAUGCCUAGCUAAUAAGAAUACUGCAGAAGUCGCUCCGUUAGCGGUCGUUUUGUCCUUUUUAACUUUAAAGUGAUUAGCCCAGGGCAGCUGUUUUGCUGACCAGGGUUUAACAACACUCUCUCGAAGCGUAAUGUUCCAAUAUUGGUUCGAAUUUUUUGCCUGAGCGUGACAUCGUGGCAUUGAAGUGCUGGCUCAUACUUAACAAUGUUUACGAUAUAUAUAUAUAUAUAUUCUUUUUAUAUCAAUAUAUUUCUAUUCGCUUUGAUUGAAUGCUGGUCUAUUCAACCAUGAAGAACGUCCAAAGCUUUGUUUCUGUUCGGUUACAUCGCAUUUCCCCUAUACCAGAGCAACGCAUACUAAGAGUCAUACAUACAUGGGUAAAGCUGGCGGUUAUAAUGGCAGUUGACAGAAGAGAAGUCGAAUUUUUAAGAUAGAAAAAAUAAAUACAUUUCCCGCCGAUUUUCAACGCCGUAUUCGAAAUGAUCUAAGACCCAUUUAUAAAGUAACGCUGUUGCCGAUCAAUCUUGUUCAUGCUCCGGUAUCUUGCAGCCGCCAGUCAAGCGACAAGCCGAUACAGACUAAAUACUGCACAAAUAAUCGCCUGUAGAAAUAUGCAUUCGCAUGAGAAGUCUACAUCUAUCUGCGUAUAACAAGGGAUCACAGUAACAUAAUCGAAGCAUUGCCUGUUUGUUAACCGCAAAAACAUCCGUAUGAAGUCAGACAUUGGCGGGUAAUCAAACCCGCCGAACAAACACAUGUAUCCAUGUCGAUCGUACACAUCGUACAAACAGCAAGGUACCCAUUAAUCACUACCCACAUCUGCACUAUAUCAUCGUAAUACACGAUGCCCACAACCUAGCCAGCCAGACAGCCAAGCCAUAGCUUCAUCCUCGCUCGCUUUCUCCAUUAAAGCAGCUCAGCCAGCUUCUCCUUACUAGCUUAAAUGUUCGUUCGCCCGCACAAAUGCACCUCAUUCUACUCUCAGCAGCAUCAGCAGGAUAAUCAUCAUUAUCAUCACUACAAUCAGAGACCAUUGCCGCUAUCGUCGUCAUCAUCAUCAUUAUCACCAGCGUUGUUAGUUGUUACGUGCAUAAAACGUUUCGCUUAGAAGUGUUUAAGUUGACGACCAGCAGAGCGUUGUUAUUAAACUGGCUAGUGCUACUACGUUUCGCCCUUGAGAUGAAAGAGAGCGGGAACGCGACGGCAAACGUAAUGCUAGGCAGGCAGGCUGGCUGACCGACUGGCUAACUGAUCGGCUGUAAGCAAUGCUCCGUUGUAGCAACGCUCUCUAUGACGUAGUUACUAGCUGCGGCAAUAGUGGCAUUAUAGCAGUAUUCGGAAGCGAGCAUAUGGGAAGACUUACCUGGUUUCCUACGCAGCGGGGGGCCUUUGUCCAUGUCAAUAGAAGAGACAACGGUAGCACUAAAAUAACGAAAUUGUAUAGAAUACGAGCAAACGGAUAAAAAGACGCGACGAAGAAUGAACAACUAUAAUUGUCUGCUGGUCGCCCCCCAAACUGUUAGUACGAUCCGUGUACAGCGGAAGUCCUGCUCCAGCUGCUGCUACAGUUGCCGUCGGUAAUAUUGGUGGCGAGCUUAACAGCACGAAGUAUAUGACGGUGUUUGGCAAUAUUUUCGACGCUUGCAUGUCAUGUAUCCACCGUAGAGAUCGUUUCUCGUCUGUUUCGGCAUUAAUAUAAUAGUGGCUCUGGCAACAACGAGACUGUUUUGCAGCGCUAAUGACGUCUUGUCGCGAAGAGCAGCGAAAAAUGAACAGGGAAAGAAAUAACAGGGGAGGUACGUUUACCGUUAUCGGGAGCCCCAUAUCAAUAACGUAGCCCAAACAGAGUGGGUCGGAUUCAAGCAUGGGAGCAGGAGUCUUCGAUAAAGCUAAGGAAGAACAAGGAAUCGCGCAAGGCAUGGUCCAACUGAGCUAGCUAGCUAGCUCAUUAUCUAACAAGAAAUGCUGGUUUGAGUUUAUGCUUCUACUUGAUGAAUAAUGAGGUUAUCGCUUAAGGAAAGUCAAACACACAGUGUGGAGGGAAAACAUGUUACAGCUCGCAGUCAUCUACAUAUAGAAGCAAUUUUAUCAGUUUGCCUAUAGGACCUCAAACACCCCCACAACAAGUACUUAUAGAUAGAGAAGUAAUAAACCCAGCGAUUAGCAAGGGAACAGCGCUCAAUACCAGCUGCUAUUGUGUUCUUUCUCGACCCAUUACGUCUAGAAGUAGGCGCGUUCCACCCGCCAGUUGCAACGCCAUUACAAUGCGACAUAGACAAAAUAGUUUUGAUCAUGAACUGAUCCGGACCAGUUAGGUCGACUACAUGUCAAUUAGCAACCUUAAACCAAACUGAUGAUGAAGUAGUCAUAGGCAAUAUCACUGAGCCCCACUGAACCAGUUCCGUUCAUUGCUAGACAGCUUGCUCGAUAGCAGUUCGCGCGUACGGUUGACGAAAACGAGAAAAAAAUCGCUUUAUACCACGAAAUGGUCUCGUUAAUAUUAAAAAAAAACAUUACGAACGGAAGAAUCACUGAUAGAAUUCAAAAUGCUCACUCAAGCCUCAAUAUAUACACAAGAAAUUGUAUUAUUUUGACUACUCGUAUAUCGCUUACGCAUAGCGAUUCGCCUGUAAAGCGGUUCAUACGACCUGUAUCGAUUCGUUUGUUAGUACGAUGCGUCUGCUUCAUUGUCGGUCAACACUGUGGGAACAUUAAAGCAGAUAAGAUAUUCGGAGAUAACACGUAAAUAUAUAGACGAACAGCAAGACACGAGAUAUCAUAUACCUAUAAAUAGAAAAAAAUGUUCUCAACAUUCACAUAUAAUGGCCGCCAUACCAACAAUCCAAUCAAGUAUGACAAAACCAUCAACAACAGCAACAUCAGCAUCUGUCGCUAAUUUUAGCAUUGAAAAUUUUCCGUACAAUAAAGAUAACAAGGCGUUUUCGGUGAGCUGCUGACAUCCAUCGCAGCGAACCUUACCCAACUACAGAUUUGCAAAAUAAGCCAAGCAACACCGUUAUGCCACAAGUCAAACACAGUUUCGUUUGCAUGCGAGAUUUUCUUUGAAACAAAUUUUCGAAAUCUAGUAACCUACUCAAAGGUAUCGUCCUGUCUCGUUUCACCUUAGCUUUCAUCCAGUACGCCUUUGAGCGGUAGCACUACUGGACGAAUGGUUAGUUAUACAAUAAGUAACCAUUCUUAGGUACGAUUUCAUUCUUUCGUGUCGCUUGACCCCCUCCCCCUUCAUAGCAGUUAGCUUGCUGGCGGCUGGCCAGCUGAUUACUCUGUAUUCCAUGUAUUACGGAUGAUUCUGCCGAACAUCACAAAUGUACUCUGUCGCUAUAGCACAGACUCGAUGUGAUGGCCUGCAUGAACCUGUCCACUUACUCGCUCGUAUGUUCACCACAGAUGCAAUC